CGUGGCCUUGCGAGUUGGUGCCGUCCGGCUCCACGGCAGACGUAACACAGCAGUGAAUCGCUCGCACGUCAAGGAGGGGGACAAGCAUCUGAAGUUUACCGUCAAAAAAUGAGGUCACCUGCUUGUCUAAAUUCAGAUCACGUGACAGCGGAAGUGGCGUGUGUUUACAAACGCAGAGCUGCCAGAGGGGGCGGAGUGAGAAGACCGCAUUUAAGGACAUCCAGCAGCAGAUGUGAACCCGUUGAACCCGAGGCCUUCCCAAGAUACUUGAAGGCGCAACCCCCGUUGGAGGAACCCCAGAGUGGUUUUAAACAGCAGCAAGAACAAUCUUUAUAUUACACUUCCAACGAAUAUCAUGGAAUAAUAAAACUAGAAUGGGCAACCUGAGGAAGAAAAAUAUGCAUUGGUAUUCUAGAUACUCCCGAGGGAUGAAUACAAUCAAUCAUCCAUCUAUCUAGGCCAGUUCCUAUAGAUGCAUGCAUAAAUAAAGAUUUUUUUUUUUUGGCAGGGUUGGCGCAUCGAGACAUCAUGGCCUAUUUAUGAAUAUUACAGAAGGAUAAUCUGCAUAUUGAUCCCAUUUAAAGCCCGCAUGUGCACAUGUUUGUGUAUUUAUUUUCAUUCACAUGUUCAAAUCAUAUGUAGGUUGAGGCUUUGAAAAAGCAGUCAGGACAACGACCUAAUUUUUUUGGAGGCUUUGAUGGCAGCUUUGUGGAUGUAUGUCAUCUUUUUCACAAAAUAAAGAAUUUUGUGUUGUCAUCACACAAUUUUGUGUUCAUAUGUUUGAGGAAAAAAAUAAUUCAUGCCAUUUUGGAGUAAAACUAUGCUAACAAAAUGCGGAAAAAGUGAGGCUCUUUCCUGAUGUGCAGUAUUUUUGGAGCACCGCCACCUCAAAUGGCUGCAACUCCAAAAUGUUCAGCGUUGUAUUGUUGGCAAAAGUCUGAAAAUACAGUAUAGCUGGAGAAAGACGACAUUUUUAAUCUGGUGUCGAUUGUAUUAACUUCAAAUCAAUUGUGCAGCCGUGUACAUUCAAAACUGUUGAAUUCAGCAUUCUGAGACACAAGUUAUUGUUUUAUUCUCUCACUUCUCCACACACAUCACAGAAGCAUAAAUAAUACAAGGUCACAAUGACAAUUAGAGCUCUGACGGACGUGGUUGUUGCCAUGGCGACUCCACACACACACACACACACACACACACACGCGGGAUUACGAGCGGAUAUUAAGAGCACGAAGCAUGGAAUGUUAUCCAAAGCGUUUCGUGGCUGUCAAGCGGAAUGUGGAGCGCUACAACCUGGAAUGUUUCCAUGGUUGGUUCACCAAACCCACCGCAAAAAUCUACAAUGUGUGUUUCCACUGCAAGAAGUGACCUUUAAUUACACAACUUGCUUAAUAUUUGACACCAUGACCCCUUCACAUUCAAUGGAAAAAAAACGAUGA